rnacentral:rRNA from 1 species
UGGGGAAUUUUUGACAAUGGGGGAAACCCUGAUCCAGCCAUGCCGCGUGAGUGAUGACGGCCCUAGGGUUGUAAAGCUCUUUCAACGGUGAAGAUAAUGACGGUAGCCGUAGAAGAAGCACCGGCUAACUUCGUGCCAGCAGCCGCGGUAAUACGAAGGGGGCUAGCGUUGUUCGGAAUAACUGGGCGUAAAGCGCACGUAGGCGGAUUGUUUAGUGAGGGGAGAAAUCCCAGGGCUCAACCCUGGAACUGCCUUUCAUACUGGCAAUCUAGAGUUCGAGAGAGGUGAGUGGAAUUCCGAGUGUAGAGGUGAAAUUCGUAGAUAUUCGGAGGAACACCAGUGGCGAAGGCGGCUCACUGGCUCGAUACUGACGCUGAGGUGCGAAAGCGUGGGGAGCAAACAGGAUUAGAUACCCCCGUAGUCC